rnacentral:rRNA from 1 species
CCCUUAGAUGUUCUGGGCCGCACGCGCGCUACACUGAAUGGAUCAACGUGUUUUCCCUUCCCGAGAGGGACGGGUAACCCGCUGAACCCCAUUCGUGGUAGGGAUCGGAGCUUGCAAUUGUUCUCCGUGAACCAGGAAUUCCCAGUAAGCGCAAGUCAUAAGCUUGCAUUGAUUACGUCCCUGCCCUUUGUACACACCGCCCGUCGCACCUACCGAUUGAAUGGUCCGGUGAAAUCUCGGGACGGCGGCUUGGUCGCUUGCGUCCGACUGCUGAAACUUGAUUAAACCAUAUCAUUUAGAGGAAGGUGAAGUCGUAACA